GCUUCAGUAGAUUUCCCGGCAGAGGAGGAGGAGAAAAAGGUGGAGGAAUCCCUUACUUCAGUUGAGAUUAGGGAGAUGUGUAGGAAUGUGAGAAACAGCGCAGUAUUUUGUAGAGUAAGCACCACCACCACCGAAGUAAGGCCGUAGCAGUGUUUUGCUGUACAUAUUACACGUCCCUUUAGAAUUGUUACCUCGUCGUGUAAUGCGGUGCCAGCACAGGUUUCUACGUUUUUAUGUGCAGCGAAGAACUGGACAAAGCAUACAAUGAAGUACCAUAAACUCAUUAGAUCAGUAUGUUGGGCAAGUGCCCUGAGAGCCCUUGUGAUCACUGGACACAGCACACUGGCUGGAAACUUGUCCUUGAUGUGGUGAAGCUCAUCUCUGAUCCACUGAGCAGUGUCAGCAGAAUCACUGGAAAUUGAACCCAAGCCCUUUACACGGAGCUACAUCCCACCACCUCCAUCCCCCAUGUUUUUAAAAAAGUGUUGGAACAGGAUCUCCUUAAGUCAUUAGUUUGCCCGGAAUAGAGUCAAACUUGCAGUCCUCCUGUUCUCCUGUUUUAGCCUACUGAGAGCUGGGAUUGCAGGAUUAAAGACAGACUUUUUUUUUUUUUUUUUUUUUGGUACUGGGGAUCGAACUUGGGACCAGGGAUUGAACUCGGGACCUUGCGCUUUCGAGGCAGGUGCCGGAAACACUGAGCUAAAUCCCCGGCCCCUAAAGAUAGACUUUAAAAAAAAAUCACAUCAGAUUAAUUUCUGAACUUCAGACAAUACAGAAAACCAGUAGGUGAAUGAAAUUAUGCACUUCAGAAUGGGAAAAUUGUGGUCUAGAAAUCUUGAUUAUGUACAUUCUAGUAAUUUUGAUUGAAUUACAUGUAAAUCUUGAGCUAUAAUUGCCAUACAAAGCAUAGUAUUAAAUAAUAUUAAAUGUAAAUCCUUAUAAGUAUGUUUACUACACUAAAAAAGCCAGAAAUUAUUCCCCAGAGAAUGUAGAUGACCUGUUUAAAAGUCCGUAUCACCUUUUCACAUUUCUGGUUAUACAUGCAUACUGUGCUUCAGAAACAAAAACGUCUACCAAAAGAGGCAAGAUACAGAUUUGAAAGAUGUUAAAAUUUAGAUUAUUGACUAAAUGACAAAGAACACAGUAUGAGAAUUCAGAGAAGCUGUAUAAUCCAAAAUGAUCAGAUAAAUCAGGGUAAUGAUGAGAUUUAAGAACAAUUUUCCGAGUAAUUUGGAGUCAAAACAGUUUAAGUUUAUAUUCUAUGUGUUGUAUAUUAAUUUGAUACCAGACUAGUUGCCUGAUUUCUCUGGGCCUCAAUGUAAAUGCAUUGUGCCUUGAGCCAUUUAUGAGGAAUAAAUGAAAUACUGUGUAAAAAUCAUCUGAAACAUAUUUAGCACAUAAUAAACAAUAAAAUCUUGGUAAUGAUUGAUAAAUAUCUGUUGCUGUUUGUUGUUAUUAUAACCUUCAUAUUAAGGUAGAACUUCACAGAGUUUGGAGUAGAAGCUAUGUUUUUUCAUUAGAAAAAGGAUGCUAUCUUGGAAACUAGUAAGUAUUUAUUAGUAGAGGAUGUAACCAUAUGUUAAUUGUUUGAUUUGAUGUCUUAAAAAUACCAGUGACUCUUUCAUUUUUCCCAGUCUGCACUUUUUUAAAUGGUGUUUUAUUUAGCUAUACAGAAGUGUUUUAUUUGCAUCAUUCAACUUUAAAAAACCCAGGAUCUUUAAUGUCUGCAGAAUGAUCCUUGUUAUUAAAAAUGCAGAUAUGUCUAAGAAGCGAGGCAUUAUAAUCUAUCCCUAGUUGUUUUAUAAUAUUUCCAUUGCAAAUACUGACUUAAGUACAAGAUUUAGUGCAGAUUUUGAUAGUGAGGCAAGGAGGUGGCAGAUGUGCAGGGAGGGCAUCAGGAGCACAUUAAGAUUCACCAAGUACCCAUCACAGAAAGAGAAGGAUGUAUAAAAGCAUAUGUUGGGAGCAUUGAGGAUAACCUUUUACCAAUGUUACAG